rnacentral:rRNA from 1 species
UACGUAGGUGGCAAGCGUUGUCCGGAUUUACUGGGCGUAAAGCGCGUGUAGGCGGCCACGCAGGUCCGUUGUGAAAACUAGAGGCUCAACCUCUAGACGUCGACGGAAACCGUGUGGCUAGAGUCCGGAAGAGGAGAGUGGAAUUCCUGGUGUAGCGGUGAAAUGCGCAGAUAUCAGGAAGAACACCAAUGGCGAAGGCAGCUCUCUGGGACGGUACUGACGCUGAGACGCGAAAGCGUGGGGAGCGAACAGG